rnacentral:rRNA from 1 species
CACGUAGGGCGCAAGCGUUGUCCGGAAUUAUUGGGCGUAAAGAGCUCGUAGGCGGUCUGUUGCGUCCGCUGUGAAAACUCGGGGCUUAACCCCGAGCCUGCAGUGGAUACGGGCAGACUAGAGGUAGGUAGGGGAGAAUGGAAUUCCCGGUGUAGCGGUGAAAUGCGCAGAUAUCGGGAGGAACACCGGUGGCGAAGGCGGUUCUCUGGGCAGUAACUGACGCUGGGGAGCGAAAGCGUGGGGAGCGAACAGG